GUGAUUUUUUUUUUUUCAUUUUUAAUAAUUAUUCUGUAAACAUUAUAUUAAAGGUGAUUUAUCGCAUUAGGGGUUUAUUUACAUUUGUCUUGUUCUUGAUGGUCCCUUUAAAGAUCUGAAGCCUUACUUCUAUCAUUUCAAGCCGCCAUUUUGUUUUGCUGUGACUCUCCUCCAUUUUCGCAUUUGUUGUCCGUGACUGAUGGUCCUGGGGUGUGCUGCAUGUGACGUCAUUGCAGUGACUAAAUAAAGGUUGGCGCACGCAUCCCGAGAUUAUCCAAGCGGUGCAUAUUGCGGUUGCAAUUCUUGAUUUAAUUGGUUUCUUGUCACUUCACUUUCUUGCUUACUUUUUCGACUUGAAUGUCGGUGAUGUUAGACUUCUUGGUUGCUUCUUCUGUCUGCUUAUCUCUUUGUCUCGCCCUUCACGACUGUACAUGUAGGAUGUGAGCUCGAAGCUCUGCUUAGUCUUGAGGUUUUCCAUCCUUCAGAUCCCAAUGUUUGUUGAGGUCUCCCAGCAUUUCGUGGUCUUCUCACAUUGCUGUCUUUUCGACAGAUCCAGCCCUCCACUUCUCUAAGUGCUGUUAAGGACCUGACUGGAAGCCUCAUGGAGCCCUCAAGGUGUUCGUGUGGGAAGAUGAGGACCCCCUGGAGUUGGUGGAAGACCAAGGGGUGGGGCUACCCUGACAUCACUGCAGAAGGACCGCCCUCAGCCUGUAUACUGCCUCACGUCCUUUCGCUAUAGAGAAUGCACUCAGAAGAUGACAUUUUUUCCUUCUCAUGUGUGUUCCCACUGUUGCUGUAGGCUGAGAGAAAUCCUACAAUCGGAAGAUUUCAAUCUCGUUGCUUGUGUGUGAUGAAUUUUUCUGAUCGGAGCUUUUUUGGCUCACCACUCCAACAGUUUAGGAAGAAAAAAAAUGUUUUUCCAAUAAACAUCAUCUGAGACUGGAAGCUGAACUGGCUCACGGGGCCUACUGGCUGCUGUGUACUGCGGACCCGACAGGCGGCUCUCAAGUGUGCCGGCGGUGGCUCCAGGCAGAGGGUUGUUGCUCUUAUCAGCUCCUUUAUACAAUGCUGCUCUCCUUCCAAAAAAUGAAAAGUAAAUGUUUUAGUAAUUCUAAAAGUCUAAGUACCUAAAGAUGUAAUGGAUACGCUUGUUGGACCUUUAAGUUUUUCCUUCUCCCUGUUUUUUAUUUAAACCACACUACUUUCCACUCCGCUUUCUCUUUCCCCGGCACUGGAAAAAUGAAACUUCCUGCAGCGCUGAGGAUUUGCUUUUAACCGGCGAUGCUGCAAUUUGAUCAGCACUCAUGGCCUCCAUGGCUAAUUAUUUCAUUUUUAUUUUCCUGCCAGUCACUCUAAAUUGUUUUUGAAAAAGGUGGGGUGUGACAAUCCUGUCCCCUCUCCUGCUCUUCACCCGUCACUCUUUUGGGCUUGAAUCCAAAACGUGUGCUGGCUGCUUGUGACCACUGGGGCACUUUGGCCAAUCUUUUAAACUAGCGUUGGCCAGCUUUCCUAGUUUUAUGAAUCUGUGACUUCAGUUUGGUCAGUUGUUUCAAUUCUGUUAAUUUAUUUUAACCAGUAGGGGGCACCACUGAGCCCUAAACCGCAGACACAGCGCCACCCAACACACCUCGAUGUUCAAAUUAAAUCUGCAGCACACUGCUCUGCUGCUCCUUCUGCCCUCCCUGUGAGUGUCACCCACCGCCUUGGCUGCCGAGGACACGCAGUGGGCUUCUUUUAAACCAUGUGACAGAUAGGGGGCGCUGUCGUCCCCUUGAACCCUCGGAUUAGAUG